rnacentral:rRNA from 1 species
GACGAACGCUGGCGGCGUGCUUAACACAUGCAAGUCGAACGGAAAGGCCCUGCUUUUGUGGGGUGCUCGAGUGGCGAACGGGUGAGUAACACGUGAGUAACCUGCCCUUGACUUUGGGAUAACUUCAGGAAACUGGGGCUAAUACCGGAUAGGAGCUCCUGCUGCAUGGUGGGGGUUGGAAAGUUUCGGCGGUUGGGGAUGGACUCGCGGCUUAUCAGCUUGUUGGUGGGGUAGUGGCUUACCAAGGCUUUGACGGGUAGCCGGCCUGAGAGGGUGACCGGCCACAUUGGGACUGCGAUACGGCCCAGACUCCUCCGGCAGGCAGCAGUCGGGCAUAUUGCACCAUGGGCGGACGCCUGAUGCAGCAACGCCGCGUGCGGGAUGACGGCCUUCGGGUUGUAAACCGCUUUAGCCUGUGACGAAGCGUGAGUGACGGUAAUGGGUCAAGAAGCACCGGCUAACUACGUG